rnacentral:rRNA from 1 species
CGCCUGGGGAGUGCGGCCGCUAGGUUAAAACUCAAAUGUAUUGACGGGGGCCCGCACAAGCGGUGGAGCAUGUGGUUUAAUUCGACGCAACGCGAAGAACCUUACCUGGCCUUGACAUGCAGAGAACUUUCCAGAGAUGGAUUGGUGCCUUCGGGAACUCUGACACAGGUGCUGCAUGGCCGUCGUCAGCUCGUGUCGUGAGAUGUUGGGUUAAGUCCCAUAACGAGCGCAACCCCUAUCCCUAGUUGCUAGCAGUUCGGCUGAGAACUCUAGGGAGACUGCCGGUGACAAACCGGAGGAAGGUGGGGAUGACGUCAGGUCAUCAUGGCCCUUACGGCCAGGGCUACAUACGUGCUACAAUGGCGCGCACAGAGGGCUGCAAACCCGCGAGGGGGAGCCAAUCUCACAAAACGCGUCGUAGUCCGGAUCGCAGUCUGCAACUCGACUGCGUGAAGUUGGAAUCGCUAGUAAUCGUGAAUCAGAAUGUCACGGUGAAUACGUUCCCGGGCCUUGUACACACCGCCCGUCACACCAUGGGAGUGGAUUGCACCAGAAGUGGCUAGUCUAACCUUCGGGAGGACGAUCACCACGGUGUGGUUCAUGACUGGGGUGAAGUCGUAACAAGGUAACCGUA